rnacentral:rRNA from 1 species
UACGUAGGGGGCAAGCGUUGUCCGGAAUUAUUGGGGGUAAAGAGCGUGUAGGCGGUCCGGUAAGUCAGCUGUGAAAGUCAAGGGCUCAACCCUUGAAAGCCGGUUGAUACUGUCGGGCUAGAGUCCGGAAGAGGCGAGUGGAAUUCCCGGUGUAGCGGUGAAAUGCGCAGAUAUCGGGAGGAACACCAAUGGCGAAGGCAGCUCGCUGGGACGGUACUGACGCUGAGACGCGAAAGCGUGGGGAGCAAACAGG